UUCACCCCGCGCCUCCCCAAGGUUACAGGUGCUAGUCUUUGGGCGACACCUGCUGGCCAGGUCAGGUACUGCAUCCUCCGGUAGCCCAACCACAGUGGGGAAAACUUGUCUCCUUGGACAUUCACAGCCACCGUAUGAGUUUGGAUUCCGCCCACCUCCCCCGCCGCCACCCCUGAGAGAGACCUGGCAAUGAGCUUCAGCUGCACGGAAUUCCGGCUUCAUGGAACCUCUCUGGGUUGGCUUCUCAGCCAGUUUCAGAGCUGGGAGCAGAGAGGGGACUGCGGGAGAGAGGCCAUGAUUAUUGAGGGGGCUUCUGCAGCCCCUGACCAACCAUCCUGAGACAGUGGCUUGAACAAGGGCCAUGGAACCCCAGAGAUGCCAUCUGUCGGGAAGGAGCCUCAGGGAUUGGGGCCCUUUGUUCCGUGAGCUUAGGACCAUGAUACUAGAAUCCAAAAUGUUGAGAGGGUAAGUGGCAAAAUGUACCUAGACAUCCUCGGAGCUAAGCAUAUACAAUUUUGGUUUAAGGAAUGCCCGGGUAAUUUAAUGACACAUACUACCUUUUUAUAUAGGCACCAUAGCCUAUUAAUUGCAAUGAUUCACCUCAUCUCAAGAAGAUGGAAGUAUUUUAGAUAUACGUGCAUGCAUUUGAAGUAAAAACUGUUUAUUUUGUGUGU